rnacentral:rRNA from 1 species
UAAGACGUAGGGAGCAAGCGUUGUCCGGAUUUAUUGGGCGUAAAGAGCUCGUAGGCGGUUGCGUAAGUCGGAUGUGAAAACUCAGGGCUCAACCCUGAGACGCCAUCCGAUACUGCGCUGACUUGAAUCCAGUAGGGGAGUGUGGAAUUCCUGGUGUAGCGGUGAAAUGCGCAGAUAUCAGGAGGAACACCUAUGGCGAAGGCAGCACUCUGGGCUGGUAUUGACGCUGAGGAGCGAAAGCAUGGGUAGCAAACAGGAUUAGAUACCCUGGUAGUCCAUGCCGUAAACGUUGGGCACUAGGUGUGGGGACUUUCAACGGUUUCCGUGCCGACGCUAACGCAUUAAGUGCCCCGCCUGGGGAGUACGGCCGCAAGGCUA